rnacentral:rRNA from 1 species
AUUGAACGCUGGCGGCAGGCCUAACACAUGCAAGUCGAGCGAGCGGCGGACGGGUGAGUAAUGUAUGGGGACUGCCCGAUAGAGGGGGAUAACUACUGGAAACGGUGGCUAAUACCGCUUACUAUCGGAUAACCCAUAUGGGAUUAGCUAGUAGGUGGGGUAAAGGCUCACCUAGGCGACGAUCUCUAGCUGGUCUGAGAGGAUGAUCGGCCACACUGGGACUGAGAAACGGCCCAGACUCCUACGGAGGCAGCAGUGGGGAAUAUUCGACAAUGGGCGAAAGCCUGACGCAGCCACGCCGCGUGUAUGAAGAAGGCUUUAGGGUUGUAAAGUACUGUCAUUAGGGAGGCGUUACCCAACGAAAAAGCAACGGCUAACUCCGUGCCAGCAGCCGCGGUAAUUC